GGGGCCGUAGCUCAGUUGGGAGAGCGCCUGAAUGGCAUUCAGGAGGUCGAGGGUUCGACUCCCUUCGGCUCCACCA
rnacentral:tRNA from 1 species